rnacentral:snoRNA from 1 species
GUGCGUAUGAUGGAAAAAAACUUAACCUUCUGAGAGUUAUGAUGCCUUCAAAGGAACCACUGAUGCAC